GUCUGCUGGGUGACCUUGGGCAAGCCGCUUCUCUUCCCUGGGCCCCGAUCUCCCCAUCCGCUGAAUGGCGAUCCGAUACCUGUUCUUCUUCCUCCUGCUUAGGCCGUGAGCCCCACGUGGUGACUGAUUGAUUACCUUUAUACCUCUCCCAGCCCUCCGUACGGUGCUUGGCACGUAGUGGGCGCUUGGCAGAUGCCGUUCUUAUUGUAUUAUAUAACGAUAUGCAAUCCUCAUUAUGGUUCAGAGGGACCCUCUCCGGGAGACUUAGACCUUCAGCCGGGCUAAACUCAAACCGGGAGACUCGGGUAGAACAUAUAAUGGCCGUCACUAUUGUUAAGGGGGACUCUUUCCAAGACACUUGACCCAUCCGCUGUUUUCCCCUUGGCGGCAAAGUCCGGUGAGAGGUGAAGCGGCUCGAUUUCUUCUUUCGCUUUUCUGAGCGACCGACUCCCCGGGGUCGUAGCGAGACGCCUCCCCUCGUGACGUUUCGCACGCGCCCGCGGCUGGCCGCGGCCCGGAGUGCCGGCUUCUGGCGGGGUCCGUCGGCUGCGUCGUCCGGGUGGGUGAAACCGAUCCGGACCGCGCGCUCGCCUAGGGGCCUCCCGAGCUUAGGGUUCGGAUUCAAAGCCUGUCGUCGGUCGAUACGUCCGCCGAUCGUACGUAACGGGCGCUUGCCGCGCGCAGAGCGCCGAGCCGAGCGACUGGGAGAGAGUGCCGAAGAGCCGGGGUCAGGACCCCGGUCUCCCGCCUCCCGGUCCCGUUCGCUUUCUGCUAGGUCAAGCUGCUUUUCUGCCAGAUGUCAGAAGGUUGCCUGCAGAUCACCGGUCCGGACUCCUACUAGACGUCCUGCGUGGCCUCCAGCCUUCGUCCCUGACCCUACCGUUCCUCUGGGCUACCCAAAAGACUCCCUUUGUCCCCUCGGACGGACCUCGUAGCCGGCCGACGGUUUCCUGCCGUCUUUCCCUUGGGAGGGAUGAGGCUCGCGUUCCUUUGAUGAUUCUUCUGUGGGGCCCGGGAGCUCUCCAGACCCUGCUGGGCCAGGCCCUCCUUUGGCGCGCUUCGUCUUUAGGGAACAGCCUACUCCCCCGCUCCGGACCUAGUCUCUCGGUCCUCGGUCCUGCUGGCUCCUCUGCAUUUACUUGCGCUGGCUUCGCUAGUGCGGGUUGGAGAGGGUGAGCGGAGGAGAGCGGAUGAGCACUCCUCGGUUCCCGUCGGAUGGCACGCUCCCGGGAGCUCGGUACGGUGCUCUGCACGUAGUAAGGGCUCGAUGAAUUCCGCUGAUCCGUUUGGGAAAGAUCCGAUCCCUUCGGUCGGCCCGCUCCCUGUCCGGGAAGUGCUUCCUUUGGGCCAAGAGCCGUGCUAAGCGGCUGGGGUAGAUACAGCGCCGUCGGAUCAGCUCCGGUCCCUACCCCACAAGGGGCUCCCAGUCCGAAGGGGAAGGAGAGCGGGGAUCUCGUCCUCGUUUUACGCAGGGGAAAACCGAGGCCCACGGAGGCUCGGUGACCGGCCCGGGGUCGCGCAGCGGGCCGGGGACGGAGCUGGGAAUGAAACCGAAUCUCCCGAUUCCCAGGAGAUCGAGCGGUCGGUCGGUCGGUCGGUCGGUCGGUCACGGGCGUGGAACGGUGUCCCGUGUACUGAGUGCUCGGGAGAGUUGGGCGUAAUUGUGUCGGUAGACGUGUUCCCCGCCCCCGAGGGGCUUACGGUCUAGAGGGGGAGGCAGCCGUUAAGAGAGAUUACAGCUACGGGCAUAAAUGCCGCGGGGUUGAAUGCGGGGAGACUGGCCUGCGCUUAAAGGGUGCAGAUACGAGUGUAGGGAAGACUCAGAGCGGGGGAGAGAGAGGGUAGGAGAAACGAGGGCUUCGCCGGGGAAGUCCCCUCGGAGAAGUAAUUUUAAUAAGGCUUCGAAGGGGGAGAGAGCCAUGGCUUGUCAACCCAUCGGUGGUAUUCACCGAGUGCUUACCGCGUGCAAGGCGCUGAACUAAACGCUUGGGAGGGGAACGACGCACCAAUAUGACAGAUAGGUUUCCUGCCCACGGUAAGGUUACAG
rnacentral:lncRNA from 1 species